AAAAAAAAAAAAAGGAAUCUUAUUGUUUACACAUAAAUUUAAAGCCUGAAUUUUCAUCAGGCCCGUAUUUUGGCGAAAAUACUGCUGUUUCCUUAAUUGGUUCUUUUGUCCAGACUAAAACACAAUAUUUAACCUUUUUUUUUUUUUAUCAUCUCCUUUAAUUUUGAGAUUAAUUUUCCAAUUUCUUAUAAUUCUCCAGGAAGAACUUUCAGUAGGCACUCCCUCAGGGAUAUUUCCCUGUCCCCUGGAACUCAUAUUUCCCAUUUUUCCUAUUCUGGAAAAUGUGGAUGUACUGCCAAGCACUUCCCCGUGCAAGGGGUACCGCACACCUAUGAGUUUACCAGAUUCCCUGGUGUACUGCCAAGCACUUCCCUGUGCAAGGGCUUACCAUACACCAAAUUUCCCAAGACUCUUCUUUUCUCUCCCUUAUCUCACGCUUCGUCCGUCUCCGGCCACGCCCCUUGCGGAGCUACGGAACCGCGGAUGAGGACUCCACACUCGCUUCGUACAAAAGUACGUCUCAAUCACACAUCAUACGGAGUCUCACCCGACCCCCAAGGCAAUACUUCCUAUUUCUUACCUUGGUCUGUGCACAGAGUUACUGGAUCAAUUCUUAAACCCGGAGUGCCUGCCUUCUUCCCUUCCCCACUGCUUCUUGGAUCCUGCCUCUUUCAUCAGUCUCGGGCCCUCUGUCAGCUCUCUGCAGAACCACCACCGUCGAUGCACAGGACCGCUGAAAUCAGCGGGGCAUGCCUUCCUGCUGCUGCGGCGGUGGGGCUCCCCGGUAGGUGACUGGAUCCCAGACGAGCCCCCAAAUUGUGAGAAAUAUUCCGUAGCCAAUAACUUAGGCUCAGGCGAGGAUCUCAGUGAAGUAGUAAUUUAUUCGCGAUUGCAAUGGCGGGCGUCACACAAGCAGGAGCGCACCUACUGGUUCCAAAACACAGUUUAUGUACUUUUUGAUGACAGGACCCUCCCCUGUUUCCCCACUGAGUGGGUAAUCCAGGUUCACAAUCUAUCUGAUGCUUCACAGACAACGCACGGCCUUCGGUUGCGGGCCUGUUAAAUUUCAAAUUUCUUUUGACUUUUUUCUACUGUUUGAAAUGGUAAUGUUUCUUCACUUAUCUGACGACUUAACACCGUGAUUUUCACCUAAUUGUUCUAAGGAGUCUGGUUGUCUGCAUUUUACAAGGUCGCCUGCUAAGUUUUCUUAUCACUGCAAGCAUAUCUCAAUACCCCAUUCCUUACCUUUAAACAAUGUAACUCUGCAAAAACAACAUUUUUAUUCCCACAUGAGUAACCUCAGUAGUAUGUCUGAUCAUACUCUUGCGUGUCAGCAUUCCUCUGUUACUGGUGAACCGCAGGUGAGGCAUGUCUUCUGGAAGACUUUUACACAUGAAAGCAGAAUAGAAGUACCAGAAACACCAAAUGCAGAGGGGAGAGAGUUCAGG
rnacentral:lncRNA from 1 species